GGUGGCUCAGUGGUAGAGCACUUGCCUUGCAUGUUGGAGGCCCUGGGUUCGAUUCCUCAGCACCA
rnacentral:tRNA from 1 species